ensembl:processed_transcript Reno1 RIKEN cDNA 2810410L24 gene
UCUUCCCGGAGGGCUCAGAGUUCGUCCCCUUUUCGCGAUUGUGAACGUGGACACGCCGGAGCCUGGAUGCAGAAGGGCGCGCGGGAGCGGGGAGCUGGUGCGCGAGCCGCAGCCCAGCGUCCAGGCCGCACCACUCUCUGCUGAUCCAAAGGACUAGGGAAACCCUGCGCGCCGACGGUGGCCUGGAAGUUGGCGCGGGCCCUGGCGCUAAAAAACGGAUCCCAUUUCCAGAAAGGCGGGCCGGGUAUCCCGCUCCUGCCUCCUGGAGAAUUAGCUCGGCGGAGGUCGACCAGCCGAGUAGGGAGGGAGGGAUGGAGGGACAGGCCUAGGGUCGACCAGCCGGAUAGGGAGUAGCUUCUGGGAGCUCCCUUGCCUACGGAGGGCCGGCGAGGCUGCCCUCAGAGCGCCGCCAGUUAGCUGCAGCUGAGCCAGAAGCGUCCCCACUGGCUUACCCGAUAGUGGGAUUUUACACGGUGUCGGCUAAGGGUGGCUUUGUGAGAAGACCAUUUCAGAAGAAGAAACGGGGCUCUGGCUGGUGGGGUAGAAACCCCUAUGGAAUGAAAAGUACUCCCAGUCUCUUUGAGGAAGAUUGCAAAGUAAGGGCCUUUCUGCGGAUCUUUCCCUAGAAACCCCGCUGGGCUCCGGC